CAAGCCUACAUUUAAUCUGCAUCUUGUAAACCCCGACUGUAUUAUACUCGGCUGCUCUCUUGGUAGAGAGAACUCAGAAAAAAUCAACUAAACGAACACAAUGAAAAGGGGGAUUCAUCUCGGAAAAGCUGUAAGCACAGUUGAUCGAGAAAAAUUGAACGAUGAUCAAGGCGAUCAGUACUUUAGACUUUUGUGGGCAACACUGGACAAGAAGAAGAGGAAAACUUGUUUAUAUGUAGAUCCUCUGGCAACAAAAUACUAUUAUCACAAUAAAAAGGGGAGAGAAAAGAUUUUUAGUCGACUGAUGAAGGACAACUUAUUUGAGAUGAAAUAUGUUUUUUUCCCAAUUUGU